CCCCUCUCGGGGUCACACCUGGAGAGUUUCCAGGACUCUAUCAGUCUCGACUACGAGAGGGAGAGUCAAGCAGAAGUAUACCCAUUCCAUUCCUAGCUUGGUCAGUGGCUGCAGAGUAGAAGGCAAUCUGCUACAAGU